rnacentral:rRNA from 1 species
UACGGAGGGGGCUAGCGUUGUUCGGAAUUACUGGGCGUAAAGCGCGCGUAGGCGGACCUGCAAGUCGGGGGUGAAAGCCCGAGGCUCAACCUCGGAACUGCCUUCGAUACUGCGGGUCUCGAGUCCGGGAGAGGUGAGUGGAAUUCCUGGUGUAGAGGUGAAAUUCGUAGAUAUUAGGAAGAACACCAGUGGCGAAGGCGGCUCACUGGCCCGGUACUGACGCUGAGACGCGAAAGCGUGGGGAGCAAACAGG